rnacentral:rRNA from 1 species
AUUGAACGCUGGCGGCAUGCCUUACACAUGCAAGUCGAACGGCAGCGGACCUUCGGGUGCCGGCGAGUGGCGAACGGGUGAGUAAUAUAUCGGAACGUACCUUUCAGUGGGGGAUAACGUAGCGAAAGUUACGCUAAUACCGCAUAUUCUGUGAGCAGGAAAGCAGGGGAUCGCAAGACCUUGCGCUGAUUGAGCGGCCGAUAUCAGAUUAGCUAGUUGGUGAGGUAAAGGCUCACCAAGGCGACGAUCUGUAGCGGGUCUGAGAGGAUGAUCCGCCACACUGGAACUGAGACACGGUCCAGACUCCUACGGGAGGCAGCAGUUGGGGAAUUUUGGACAAUGGGCGCAAGCCUGAUCCAGCCAUGCCGCGUGAGUGAAGAAGGCC